AAAUCCUCCAGAUGGACUCUUGAGAUAUCCUUUAAGUUUGAGGUCUCUCAUCCUUAAUUUCAGAAGCUAACAUUUGAAUUUUGUGAACAGGACCAUCUCUCAGUCUUCACCACCACAACCCACCCUUGGACCAGCAGUCUCCUGAUACUAUAGUGAUGGGUGGGCAUCGGACCACAGAAUGCUGGGUAUCAGCAAGCGCACAGGUUGUAGUUAAGGCUGGUGUCCAGGAAACGUCUUCUGAUUCCACAAGUGUGUACAGUGAUCCACACAAAGGCUCCUCCAGGAGCUGUAAGUGAAACUAUGCAGAUGAUGCGUUCCCAAGAGCAGGUGAUGCUAACUUUGCCUUGAGUGCCAGUUACUGCCUUCCAUCUUUGUGAGUUCUUCAUGAGCAGAGUGAAGUGAAAGCCCUUGAUUCCAGAUCCCAGACUGGCUCAUCAUGAAAGCAAAUGCAACCUACCAUCAGCAAGAAAGAAAGGGGAGGUAACACCUGGAGAUGGCAACUGGGAGCAGUGACUGUGAAGAGACCUACCGAGGCUGAGCUGGGCCUGGAAUCUCAGGCUAGGGCCCUUUCCAGCAGACACCCACUGCCAUUCUAUUUUCCAUCUGUACCUCUUGUCAUUGUCACGUACUAUCAGAGUUUCAGCUGUCCAUGCCAGACGCCUGGGAACACUGGUGAGAAAACAAUUUCACAUUCCCAGGCAAGACCCAGUGUCACUGGAGUCAUGUCACAAGGCUGCAACUUGAUCCAUAAAGAGGGCAACUUAGCAAGACAGUGCUGAUUGGAAAAAAAAGUAGGAUAUUAAUUUGAAAGAGGAAGGCAAGUCUCUCUAGUAGAGUUAUUAUAAUUUUGUAAUCAAAGAGUCUUUGUGUGACUUGUCUAGA